rnacentral:lncRNA from 1 species
UAAACUCUUCCAUAGACCAAGCCAUUAAGUAGAAAUGCUUAUUAGGACCUUAUAGAACAUCAAACAUUAAAUGGUAACCUAAGUAUGAGCUUACGGACGUAAAAUCAUGAGUUUACGACCGUAAAAUCAUUUGGUAGUGUCAUUAGGGUCGUGAACUCCCUUAUGGAGUUUUCCUUGAGCCCUACACACAAUAGCUUCCCCUACAAACACUUAGAUGCAAUCCUAGAGGCUAAUAACACUUGAUAAAGGUGUUUAGCAUGUCCUAGGGUGUCUUGACUUGUUUAUUAGUUGUUUAUAGACUAAUUUGUUACAUAUAUGUGAAAUUAUAUGUUAACUAGGAUCAUAGAGUGUGUUCAAGACUUCACUUGACACCUAGCGGUCCUACCUCUUCAGNAAAGGUGUUUAUCAUGUCCUAGGGUGUCUUGACUUGUUUAUUAGUUGUUGAUAGACUAAUUUGUUACAUAUAUGUGAAAUUAUAUGUUAACUAGGAUCAUAGAGGGUGUUCAAGACUUCACUUGACACCUAGCGGUCCUAGCUCUUCAAUUCAUCCGUAUCACCCACAACAGGUGAGUUCAUACCCCUUAAUCAAUGUUUUAACUAUUUUUAAAUGUUUUAUGGGGGGGGGGAUACUAGUAGAAUCAUGCUACUUAUUAUAUCAAUCACAUUUGAUUAAUAAGCAGCAUUCAAAUGAUUUACUAUUCAUUAGCCGUUUUACCAAACAGUUUCCUUCAAAUGAUUUUCGUAAACACUUUAUAUGUUUAAAACUCCUUAUUACACUUUACAUUUUACUCUGUAUAUUACAUUUCAAACUUAUUUACAAAUUGUGUUUCAAAGAAAUUUUUCUUUAUACUAAACCGUUUUAUCAAACACGUGCCUUCAAAACCCUUUUAUGGAUCGACAUCAAGUCGAGCUUUUCUUAGAAAAUAUUUAUGUUCAAAGGUUUUUACAAAACUUAUUUUAUGCUUUUAUAUUAUAAAUUGCAUGCCUCUAUAUGUAUGGUUAUAUAAGAAAUGUUUAAAAGACUUAGGAAGGCUAUCCACCUUGUUUCCUUUUCCUCGAUUUGGAUGUGGUCUGAUAGGAUAGCAGGUACCCGUACGAAGGUCGUUUAAAUAUUAGUUAUAUAUCAUGUGUACAUAUAUAGUCAUAAAAGGUCUUUCCAGUUCAUCCACUGCCCUUGGAUAGCAAGGGUAUGUAUCCAUGUUCAUACGUACCAGUUAUAUUACUAGUAAGCUACCAUAUUGGUAGUUUAGGAAGAUACUAGAACUAUUACUAGAACGCGAUAUCAUAUAAUGAGUCAGUUCAUUCAUGAGUCAAUACUUGCUAGAUAGAGAGAACAUACAUUACAGCUAGAACAUUACAGU